rnacentral:rRNA from 1 species
GACGAACCGGACAAACGUUAUUCGGAAUUACUGGGCUUAAAGGGUUUGUAGGCGGCCUUGUAAGUCAGGUGUGAAAUCCCUCGGCUCAACCGAGGAAUGGCGCUUGAUACUGCACGGCUUGAGGGAGACAGGGGUAAGCGGAACUGAUGGUGGAGCGGUGAAAUGCGUUGAUAUCAUCAGGAACACCAGUGGCGAAAGCGGCUUACUGGGCCUCAUCUGACGCUGAGGAACGAAAGCUAGGGGAGCGAACGGG